rnacentral:rRNA from 1 species
CACGAAUAUACCGGUUCUCGUUAGAUCACCGAAGUCAAGCAUCAUUGGGCGCGGUCAGUACUUGGGAGGGUGACCACCUGGGAACACCGUGUGC